rnacentral:rRNA from 1 species
UACAGAGGGGGCGAGCGUUGUUCGGAAUUACUGGGCGUAAAGGGCGCGUAGGCGGCCAACUAAGUCAGACGUGAAAUCCCUCGGCUCAACCGGGGAACUGCGUCUGAUACUGGAUGGCUUGAAUUCGGGAGAGGGAUGCGGAAUUCCAGGUGUAGCGGUGAAAUGCGUAGAUAUCGAGAGGAACACCUGCGGCGAAGGCGGGUUGCUGGGCUGACACUGACGCUGACAGCGCGAAAGCUAGGGGAGCGAACGGG